GCGGCGAGUGAGCGGCAGAGCUCAGAUUUGAAAUCGUGCUUUGCGGCACGAGUUGUAGAUUGCAGGUUGGAGUCUGUGUGGAAGGCGGUGUCCAAGUCCCUUGGAACAGGGCGCCCAGGAGGGUGAGAGCCCCGUGGGAUGCCGGCGGAAGCAGUGAGGCCCUUCUGACGAGUCGAGUUGUUUGGGAAUGCAGCUCCAAGCGGGUGGUAAAUUCCAUCUAAGGCUAAAUACUGGCGAGAGACCGAUAGCGAACAAGUACUGUGAAGGAAAGAUGAAAAGCACUUUGAAAAGAGAGUGAAACAGCACGUGAAAUUGUUGAAAGGGAAGGGUAUUGCGCCCGACAUGGGGAUUGCGCACCGCUGCCUCUCGUGGGCGGCGCUCUGGGCUUUCCCUGGGCCAGCAUCGGUUCUUGCUGCAGGAGAAGGGGUUCUGGAACGUGGCUCUUCGGAGUGUUAUAGCCAGGGCCAGAUGCUGCGUGCGGGGACCGAGGACUGCGGCCGUGUAGGUCACGGAUGCUGGCAGAACGGCGCAACACCGCCCGUCUUGAAAC
rnacentral:rRNA from 1 species